AAAAGCGUGUCCUUCCUGUCUGGCUGCAGCAGGUCUGGGCUCAGUGAGAGGUUUUGGGGCUAAGAGGGGUAUAAAGGCAGUACCUUGGACAGACCCGGUCCUCGGAGACAGGAAAGACUCAAGGUCGCACGGGAUAAAUUGCGAACCGAUUGCAGGCUCCUUGCGUCAGUUGCGUGAGGGGAGGGGCCUGUUGCGCCCGCGCAGUUGUCCUCUCUUUCAAGCGCCUGGAGCGCAUGUGCGCAGGGUGUGGCGAAAACGGGGCUGGAGUCUAACUACAGUACUCAUUGGAUGCCCCGACUCACCCUCAAGGCAGAAGGCUGUGGAGGCCUGGAGCCAGGAGCAGCCUUGGAGGGCACCUGGUGCUCUUCCACCCAGAGGAAGGGACAUGCAAGGCCAUGUGGACAGCGUAAGUGAGCCGUCACGAGGAAACAAGCCUUCCGGUCUAUGUCUGAGUCAACAAGAUGGCACCAAAGAG